rnacentral:rRNA from 1 species
GGUUUCUUGUAUAUAUAAGAAAUUUAACCUGCCCACUGAAAAUUUUUGAAGGGCCGCAGUAUUUUGACUGUGCAAAGGUAGCAUAAUCAUUAGUCUUUUAAUUAGAGGCUGGUAUGAAUGGUUGGACGAGGUAAAUACUGUUUUAUAAUAAUUUUAGUUGAAUUUAGGUUUUAAGUAAAAAAACUUAAAUGUUAUUAAGGGACGAGAAGACCCUAUAGAGUUUAAUAUAUGAAGUGAUUAAUUUAGUUAUAGAUGAAUUUUUAAUUAUUAUGAAAUUUAUUUAGUUGGGGUGAUUGGAAAAUAAGUUUAACUUUUCUUUAAAAUUAAUUUUAUAAUUAGAAUAAAGAUCCAUUUGUAGUGAUUAAAAGAUUAAAUUACCUUAGGGAUAACAGCAUAAUUUUUUUUGAGAGUUCAUAUCGAAAGGAAAGAUUGUGACCUCGAUGUUGGAUUAAGAUAAAUUUUUGGGUGUAGAUGUUCAAAGUAUUAGGUCUGUUCGACCUUAAAAAUCUUACA